CUCAGAUCAUCAGGCAUUAGAUUCUCAUAAGAAGCACACAGCCUAGAUCCCUUGCAUGUUCAGGGUUUGUGCUCUUACGAGAAUCUAAUGCCGCCACUGAUCUGACAGGAGGCGGAGCUCAGGUGGUAAUGCCCUCACUUGCCCGCGGCCUGGGAGUUGGAGACCAUUGCUCUAUAGAAAGUCUUUGAAUAAGGUAACUUUGUGCUUAAUUCAGCUACCCUAAAUAUCGACUGUUGCUAUUCUAAGUUUGCUCUUCAAAUCAGCAUCAGUAUCACCUGGAAAUGCGUGAAGAUACAGAGUCUCAGGUAUCGCCAGUAUUCCUAAAUCAAAACUUGCAUUUUAAUGAGAUUUCCAGAUGAUUUAUAGAGAUAUUAAAAUUCAAGAAACACUAACUUUUCGAGUAUGUGUCUUAUAAACCUCCUACUUUGUUUGCACGUGUUGCACCUACUAACACACACAACACUGAACUGUUCACCGCUUGCUUUCCUGGCAUGCACUAUAGUAAUAGAUUUAAUUAUCCCAAAAUAUUCUCAUUGAAAAUUAUGUGUAGGUUGUAGAAAUCCUGGCAAUAUCAGUGGUUAACUGUUCAUUUGCCACAUCUCACUGUGUAAGAUGUUAGUGUCACCAUCUGAUACUGCUCUGUUUGCACAUUCAUUGUUCAGACUUUGUAGCCUGUUUGAUUUUUGAGCUAUCUAAUAAUUUCACUAAUUUCAGACUCUUCCUAGACCAAUGAUGUGUAUGUCUUCAUUAGCACAGAUCUUAGUACUUGUCCUUAUAGAAAGUCAUGCGCUUAGUUACUUUGAGGCAACAGCUUGGUACAGGCAAAUACAUUUUAAAGCAAGACCAGACUUUGCCCUUCCUCCUCUCAGCCUACUCAACGUGAAUAUAAUGAGGAUGAAGACCUUUGUAAUGACCUUUUCCCACAUAAUGAAUAGCCAUUGGGAGACACACUUCUGAACACCACCACUGGAAAAUCACACAUGCUGAAAUGGGAGAGUUCCCUGACCCCCUUGCAGGAUAUGUGACAGGAGUGUGGCUCAUCUGUUCAGCUGGAGUGCAUACUCAAACCCCUUAUGAGACAAGGAGUAUGCAGACAGAAGGUGCAGGAACUGGGAAGCAAAAUAUAAACUAGUUAAUUUGAUCUCCAAGAGUUAAGCGGUUUUAAUAUUACUGACAGUAAUAUCAGCAGUGGUGUUGGAACCCCAUGAUCUCAUGAAUCAUAGAUAGCAACUGCUUACUGGACAUUGAAGCUUUAUGGCCAGCUGCCAAAAAAAUAAAUGCACCUUAAUUUUUAAAUUGAAUUAUAAAGCCAAAAAUAUCCUAUUGCUCUAUUCCUCUUAUUUUGGUGUUUACAUGUGACUUUAUAAUUUCCUUCACUUGAAAGAUUUUAACUUUAAAGGAAACUUUACUCUGAACGUUUAGGACAAUUCAUAGAUAAUCAAAUUGAUUAUCAUGUUUUCAAUGUUAAAUAUUACUUCAUAUGUCUUUUUACAACCUUCAGAAUAAGAAAGCCAGCUAUGAAAUACCAAGUCUUGACUAGUAGUGCCACCUAGCAUCACAAAGAAAAAGUUGUUCAACUACUUUGCAAAGCAUUGGAAAUUUAUCAAAUCAUCUAAUAUACUAUCUCCUUGAUCCUUAAUCCAGAGGAAAAUAAGCAGACAUGAUCAAUUAGAAGAAAUGUACACAAAACCUAUGUAAUUUUAGAGAUAGUAUACUACAUAUUAUGAAUGUUUGUGUUUUAGUAAGAUGUAGUUAUGAGAUGUAGCAGUAAGAUAUAAUUUCUGGUUUGCUGACUGAUAUGCUACCGGUUUUUCCUACAAUUUAAGAAAACAUAUUGGGAUUCAAAUGAAUAAAAAUAAUGUUUGUGUACUGAAAUAUUGGCUAUGACCUAAUUUAUAGAAUAAAAAGUAAGUCAUUCACAACUAUCAGUAUUUUGAAUAAUGUGGCAACCAACAACUGAUUGAGAUUUGUUAGUGUUUUGAGUAAUGAAUUUAGAAACUUUGGAAUAUAAUAUAAUGCUAACAAAGAUAUCACAGGCUCAAUCCUGGAUGGAACUGAGGACAGCUAUUCCAACCAUCUCAGUUAAGAUGCUUCUUAUUGGCGAUAAGUGAAUAAUAAGAGAGUAGAUGGCUCAUACCAGACCUAUUUCUCUCACAAUUCAAAUAGACUUAGCUGUGAGAUAGGGCAAGUCCUCAAAUAACACCAUUUCAUUCAAAGUCAUUUUAUGAUCACUUUGAUGAGAAGAAAAUCACUAAUUCUUGGUCAUGGCCACUGUCUGUGUGGAGUCUACAUGUUCUCUGCAUGUGUACAUGGGUUUUCUCUGGGUAGUUUGGUUUCCUUCCACAUCCCAAGGAAGUUCACAUGAGGUUCACUGGUGUGUCUAAAUGGUUCCAAUGUGAGUGAGUGUUGGGGUGUGUGUGGGUGCCCCCUGCAGUGAGAUAG
rnacentral:lncRNA from 10 species